rnacentral:rRNA from 1 species
GGGACAUUCAGUCGGGAGGCCGCGGACGCGCGUUGCGGAGUGACCGGAAUGGUUCCCAGGACUUGGGGCCGUCCGCGACGUGCGCUUUCGUGCCACCCGACGCAUUUGUCUCCCGUCCGAUGGACGCCGCGACCGGUUGGAUGACGGCCUUAAGGGCGGACGAUGGCAGGUGGCCGGUGGAUGAUCAGUGCCACCCCUCUCGGGGGGCGUGUGCUUUUCCGUCCGCCGGUUGUUAGCCGGUUUCCGUCGCACGGCCCGUGGUCCGACCGUGGUGUCGCGAGACCCCUAGUGGGACUCUUCGCCUCCUCCUCUGCGGGAUGCCCGGAAUUGGCGGCACGGGUCUUCUCCCCACCUGCGGGCGCACGGACUGACUCCGUGGCCCAGCUGUGCGGGAGUCCCGGUUGGUAGCCCUCUUUUACCGGUUGGAGUGUUGUGCGGUCGGCGGCGAGUAGAUCGGUCACCCACCCGGCCCGUCUUGAAACACGGACCAAGGAGUCUAACAUGUGUGCGAGUCAAUGGGACUUGUACAGGCCCAGGGGCGCAAUGAAAGCGAAGGCCGGAACUGACUUCCGGCUGUGUUGCGAUCCUCCCUUGUGCAGGGGGAGGCGCACCAACGGCCCGUCCCGUCCGAUUCAUCGGAGGGGCGGAGUCUGAGCAUACACGUUGGGACCCGAAAGGUGGUGAACUAUGCCCGGGCAGGACGAAGCCAGAGG